GACGAACGCUGGCGGCGCGCUUAACACAUGCAAGUCGAACGGAAAGGCCCUGCUUUUGUGGGGUGCUCGAGUGGCGAAAGGGUGAGUAACACGUGAGUAACCUGCCCUUGACUUUGGGAUAACUUCAGGAAACUGGGGCUAAUACCGGUUAGGAGCUCCUGCUGCAUGGUGGGGGUUGGAAAGUUUCGGCGGUUGGGGAUGGACUCGCGGCUUAUCAGCUUGUUGGUGGGGUAGUGGCUUACCAAGGCUUUGACGGGUAGCCGGCCUGAGAGGGUGACCGGCCACAUUGGGACUGAGAUACGGCCCAGACUCCUACGGGAGGCAGCAGUGGGGAAUAUUGCACAAUGGGCGGAAGCCUGAUGCAGCAACGCCGCGUGCGGGAUGACGGCCUUCGGGUUGUAAACCGCUUUCGCCUGUGACGAAGCGUGAGUGACGGUAAUGGGUAAAGAAGCACCGGCUAACUACGUG
rnacentral:rRNA from 1 species